AAACAUGGUACGUCCUCUCCAGAAGCCGUCCUGACCGUAGAGAUGCUGUCACUGUCAGGAAAUCUGGGGUCCUUUUGGGGAAUGAGCUCCAGAGCCAGAGCUGAGCACCUGCACACAGAGUAGCUCACUUCUGCUCAGAGCUUCACCAUUUAGCAAGUGACCAGUUUACCUGACUUGUUCCUCAGCAGCGCCGGGAAGCUGGGGCUUAAGGGUCAGGAGCCCGGCUGCAAAGAGUUUGGCCGGUUUGCCCCAGUUGUUCCCGGCUGGAAACGGUUUGGGGUGUGUCUCUCCCAUUUGAUUUUCUUUGUUCUUUUUCCUGGAGAAACAAAUAGGACCCAGAGGCCAGAGUUGCAUGAGCCGAGUGGUUUGUCUGCUCCUGAAUCCAUCCUUCGCUGUCUGGGUCUCAGAAACAGCACUGGCGUCUGGACAGCGCCUUCUGUGGCAGCGAGGCUCACACAGUGUCUUCUCUGAGCUCCCCGCCUGCCCACCGGGCCUGCGGGAUGAAGCAAGCCGGCUGCCCCCAUCUCCCUGCCCGCGAGGGCUCAGCGGACAUAGACCAGGUGGCUUUAGCAAGAUGUUUGCCCAGUCAGGGUGGCCUGGUGGAAAGCAUGGAAACAUUGUAACAAUAUUAAUAGCAGGAGGAGGAGACCAAGAUCACAAGCCCAACACCAGGACAGUGGUUUAACAACACACGGCUCCACAGCCGGCUCUAACCCUGGGCCAGUGGCUCACGCCCAGGGCGAUGUUGUCCCCCUGGGGACAUUCUAGUUUGUCACACCUGGGGGAGGGAGGACGUUGCUGGCCUCUGGUGGAUGGAGACCAGGGAGCUGCUAAACCCUCCAGGGCACCAGCCAGCCCCCGACAAGAGCUGCUGGGCCCCAAGUGUCCACAGCAUGAGGUUGAGAAAGCCAGGCGUAGGUGCUUUCCCUGUUAUUAACACAUUUAAUCACACACCCAUGUGGGCAGACUCUAUGUCCAGACCUCAAUUAACCUCCAGGCCACACACUUAGCAUCAGAGAUUUAGGAGUAAACUGGCCAGUCAGGCACAGCUGAGUGUGGAAGCUGCCGGAACCCACAAGGCUGGCUUAUCACAGGCUGAAUAAUUGCAGCCCAGGUGGGAAUAACCAGUUUAGGUAAGUGACAGCUGUCAACAGAGAGACACCUCGGUUGCUCAGAACUCUAUCCUGGGUCCUGACGUGGCCAGAGCUUUACCAUCAGCUGAGCAAAGCUUCUGCAGCAAGUUAUAAACCACAAAAUUACUUCAGUUAAUUUCAAAAAGGAGAAACACUGUAGAAAACUGUUUCUAAUCAUAGUGUAAUAAAAUCAGAGACUGAUAAAAAACACAAAACCAAAACAGGCCUUCGCCUGAAAACUUUACAAUUCCCUGUUAAUCCACUUCUGAGUCAGAGGGAAAUGCAAAAUAAAAUCCCAGAAUGUCUAGGAAACAAUAAUGGUGAAAAGGCUAGAUCGAAUUUAUGGACUACACAUAAAGCAGGCUCACAGGCUUAAAUAUUGUCAUCAAUAAAAAAGAAAUUAUUUUAUUAUCUCACUCAAAAAGUUGGAACAAUAUGCUAAAGUGAAGUAAAGCAGAAAAAAGCAAUAAAGAUGAUAGAAAAAAAUGUUCUAAAAUAGAAUAACAUCUGACCUUCUGAGUAAAUCAAAAAGCCGGUUAAUUCCUAGUCAAAGAAAAAGUGGGAAAACUCAAACACACAAAACAGGAAAUGACAAGCGCGAUACCACCCCUGGGCUCUGUGCGACGUGCUUCCCACGCGCUGUCAUGUCGGUGCACCUCCAGCAAGCCCGCAAUAGCAGCUGUGAGUACUAUCACGUUUAUCUCCACUUUUCUAAGCGAGGCAAUCAGGCCCAAAGAGGCCUUAUGACUCACGCAGGUCUGCCAGCUGCAGGAACGGGUGGGACUGGGAUACAAGCCCACGCCACCGCCCCCGGGCUGACGCCACCAGCUGACGCCACCAUGCCAGUCUUCCUCCCAAUGGCGACGAUGGAUGGGGUGUGACAGUAGACGCAGACCGUUCUGACCCGGGCUGGCCCUGUCCCUUGGAGAGAUCAGCUGGGCGAUUUGCACAGCCCUGUUUACAGAAGCACCACCACUGAACUGACGGCUCCGACCAAACCCUCGCAUUGUUUUGUCCUCUUUCCUUCUUGCCCCAUAUCUAAGGCAUAGCCAGCCCUGGGUGCUAAUUUCAAAAACAACCCAUUUCCCCACCUCCACCACCAGGACCCUAGUCCUAGCGCCAGACCUCUGGCCUGGUCCCUAACGGGUCUUCCUAACCUCUCUCCCUGCUUCCCAUGGGUCCCCCUACCCCCAGAAUGAUUUUUCUAAAAAAUAUAAAUCAGAUUGCAUCAUUCCCUAGCCCCUUGGGCUUCCGUUAUGGGUGACUUUCACCCACAUAACAGGAGUAGCGAGAGGGGGUGCCCCUGCUGCUCUGAGGACUCAGGCAGCACCAGCUGCCCAUGCUGUCAUCAGCUUCCAUGGUCACUGUUGACCGUGAUCAGUGAGGUGACAACUUCUGUUGGCCUCUGCUCCCCUCUGAAAUGCAGGGGAAGGACCCCAUGCCCUCUAAGGUCCACUGUAUGGUAACUAACUAGGACCCAUCACCAGUUACCACGGUGACGAGGUUGCCAUGGGGACACUGCGAUUACAGCAGUUAGACGUCCUUUCUGGUGGUGGCCCAGGCCCCACGCACACAUGUGUUCGCAGAAGAACGUGUGGAAGGCUUUCCUGCACGCCUGUAACGAGGGGGUCAGGGAGGUGAGAUGGGGGCCCUUUGCUCUUCUCCCCACGUUUGUCUGAGCCCACGUUCUCUGGUCUGUGAGCAAGCUCUGGAGCAUUCUGCCCUCAGAGGUGAAGAGCCAACAAGACGACACAUGUGAGGCCCUGGGGUGAGUGGUGGCACCGGCGUGCCUGACGGGCUGCAGCCAGGUGGGGAGUCACGGCUCUGGCAGAAACGUGCUCGGCUCAGAGCAGGGUGCUUACUGUCUGUGACCUCGCGGUCAGAGCCUGCCUGCCCAUGAAGGGGGGAACAGCGGCGGUUUGGCACAUACACUCCCAGGGGCACGGGGGCACAGCGAGGGGCCGUCCCUUCAAAGCUGAAUGACGUCAACCGUUUCCCAAAUCACAGCAGGUGAAGUUCAUGGAUAGAGUUGUCCACCUGUAACUUUUGGCUUCUUUUCCCUGAUAAUCUUUUCUGAAGCCUCAGGAUACCUGCUGCAGCUUCUCUUUCUAAGCAAACGAUCAACACUGCUUUCGUCCCAGUGGGGAAGAUUGCCCUGGAGGGCGGGUGACACAUGGCAGAGCAGUGCCCCCAAGCCUGAGGGUGCUGUCACAGCAGCAGUGAAGGUUGGGACCGGGCUCUGCACACUGCACGGAGACGAGCACAACAAGCAGUUGUUAUGACAAGACCAGGCUGGCAGGAACGUGCUCGGUGUAUUUCUGGAUGAAAGGGCAUUUUCUCCCAGGUGAGCUCUGCUGUCCUGGUUUGUUCUGUGCCAGUUAUGCAGUGUUCCGAUUCGGACCCUACGGUUUAUGCUAAUACUCUCCUUGGUGACUUACAACUUCUUGACAGCACUCAAUUUGGGUGCAUCUAGAAAUCUAAUAUCACCACGUCUUCCGGUGUCAGAUGUCCCUGAAAGGGCCAGGCUGCCUGACGCAGGCAUUGGGAUUUGUACAUGUGUGUAAGCACACGUAAUCCAACUUCACUCUCAGGCCAUACUGUCUGUCCCUUGAGGUUAAUGCUGAGCUGGUGUCUGGGUUCCAUCGAUAUUUACCUCUUAGGUCGAGAAAGCUUGGUGUCCACAUCCACGGACAUGGGUACCUGCUUAGUCAAGCAGCUGAGGAGGCAGUGGGUCUGGUUGGGGGAGUGACUCAUGGAUGCGAGCGUGGAAAGGGUCCUCACAGUUCCGUCCCUCCACCUCGGGCCUAGUGUCCUGCGGUGCCCAGGUCCCUUCCUUCUUUCCUGUGACGGGUGCCCAGGUCCCUUCCUCCUGUAACAGGUGCUCAGGUUCCUUCCUGGCUGUGGCGCCUCCCUCCUUGUAUAAUUAGGAGGAUAGUAUAGCAGUUGCCUCAGGUUGGUAAGUGCUAAAACCUGGAAAAUGAAACGUUUUUCCACCUGGACAGACCCAAAAAAAAGUUUGUACUGACAUCAGCCAGAACUGCUUGGAAGCAACUGUGUGGGAAAAGCCAUGAAAACAACCAGCUGGCUUCAACACCAGGACGAAGGAAAGGAGGGUGCUGUUCCCUGGGUGGGGCCUGCGGGAGGGGGGGGUGGCAGGUCCCAGCAAUGCUGUCCACGAGGACCCAACGCCCGGCCAGCAGCACCCACUGCGACGUGACCAGGAAGGUGCUGUGGGUCACCGGAGAGCUGGAAGGUCAGCCAGUCCGACGCCCUCAGCCCGCCUACGCUGGGGACAGCGGUGGGCACAGGGCCCAGUGUCCAUCCCCUUCCCCCCCCAAUGGCAGUGUCUUCUUUGCUGAUCACUCUGUCCUGAGCCCAGGGAGGGGUCCACCUGGGCAGCUGUCACCACGUGUGACCUCAGCCUGGCUCCACAUUGUUUCAGGCGCGUCUGGCAGGGUGUCUCCAGGUGAGAGCAGCAUUUGAAUCAGCAGAGGGAGCCAAGCAGACGCUGUCCCCAGGGGGUGGGUCUCCCCUCUUCCCUUAGAGGUCCAGGAGAACAGAAGUGGGUGGGGUCGUAGCUCAGGGCCAUUUGGGAGCUGGAACGUCCUUCUUCUCCUGCACUCGACUGGAUCUUCCCAGCGGCUGUCCGGGGUCUGCAGCUCGCAGACGGCAGGCAGGGAGAUAGUGGGACUGCCAGCCUCCCUAACCACGUGAGCCAGUUCCUUGCAAUGCACAUAAAUGUAUUCGUAUCUCCUACAGGGUCUGUAAUCUGCAGAGCCCUGGCUGUCACACAGGCAAUGAAACAACAGGCCCCCGGCAGCUGCUCUGAGCUCCCCGUCUAAGCUCUCAGCCCCUGCGGCCUGCCUGGCCCUGGCCCUGCAGAAGAGGCGACAGUGACAUCUCGUGGCCGCUGAAGGACUGGUCGGCGUGAGCUCGGGCUCUCGGAGGGCUGGGUUGCAUCCAGGGCUCUGACGUCAGUGGGUGGCUCUCGCCGCGUUUGGUCUUCACCCCUGAGCACCCGCGUCCCUGCUCAGGACUUGAGGCUGCAGGAAAACCCAGCCCAGCACAGGCCCCACACACACCGCUGCCAUCAGGUGCUGUUCUAAGCCCUUUGCAAAUAUUAACUCACUUCAGCAACUUGCCCGUCUCACGUGUCCUUUGUGCAAGUGACCCGCUCACUUUCUGAAUUAGCUGAUUAAUGGGACAGGUCUCCGUGAACAAGGACGCUCCCCCUGCUGUGUGAUGGUGGAAUUCAGGGUGUCCGUGACGCCCCUGGUAAGGACAGAGAGAGCUUUCUGGAGGCGGGCAGGACUUUCCGGUGGACCUCAGAAGCAAGCAGACCACACCUGCGCUGUGCCGGCGUGUGUAGCCAGCCUUAACGACGGUGCUCAGAAAGCUGCUUUCUUCCCCAAGUGAGGCUGGCGGAAGAGACUGCAGGAGAUGAGAGGGGCGGCUCGUCCCUCUGUGACCGCAGUGCCCAGACCCCAGGCUGCACACCUGGGAGCCAUGACACCCCACUGCCCUGCCCUCUGCACUCACCUGUGCGACGGGCAUUGCUGCUCCUCCCUCACAGGGGCGUCUGCUCCCCCCCGGACCGGGCUGGUCGUGCGGUUUGCCUUGGCCAAUAGAAUGUGGCAGAAGUGACCGCAACCCAGUACUGUCCACCCAUGGGCCUCAAGAGGCCUUGCAUGUGCCCACUCGCUUCCACGGGUCCCCAUCUAUCCUGCUGCCACGGGAGCGUGCCCUGGACACAGCCACACCCAAAGCCAAAGACGCCCCUGGACAUUUCACUGCCUUUAUUGCUUAGACGAGUUUGAACUGGGUUCCUGUCACUGGUGACAAGUUCCCCGAUUCCCGAGCCUCCUAACUGACCCUCUGCCUCAGGUUCCCCACAGACAGAGCCCAGAGCCACCCUCCGACGCACCAUCUUCGUGCCCAUCGCUGCCCAUUUGCAACUCGCAGUGGUGUCUCGUUGCCUCCAGGCUGAGAUCCAAGUGUGUUCAAUCUUGCUGUCAGUACUCUCCAGGAUCUGGUCCCACUCCACACUCUGCCACACCUUGCUCUUCAUUACGUGCACAAAAACACACCAAGCCCCUCCGCUCUGCGUUUCAUCAUGGAGUGCUCGUGAGCCGGGGAGGCAGGGCUCCCUGCCCCGAGAGGCGGGCACAGGCGGAUGGUGAACGUGAUACAUGAGCACAUCACACAGCCAGUGAGAAGACCAAGUGGCGUGGAAUGAAUGCAAGAUAAAGCCGGGUCUCUCCCUUCCCCAAGUGCGAGAGCCCGGCUUCCGACGGCCAC